AGCCUUCCUCUAGCUCAACCACCUAAACAACGCAAAACUGAACAAAUUCACUAAAUAGGCCCAAAUUAAAGCAUUUUCCAGUCCUAGUAUAGGCGAUAGAAAAGACACUUAGGCGCGAUAGAGACCAGUACCGUAAGGGAAAGAUGAAAUAAUAGUGAAAACUAAAGCAAAAAACAGCAAAGACUAGCCCUUGUACCUUUUGCAUCAUGAUUUAGCAAGAACAACCAAGCAAAGGAACUAAAGUCCCCCCAGGACCGCCGAAACCCAAGCGAGCUACUUACGAGCAGCUAUUAGUACUAAAGGUCUUCUGUUUGCAAAGAGUGGGACGACUUGCCAGUAGUGGUGAAAAGCCAACCGAGCUGGGUGAUAGCUGGUUACCUGUGAAAUGAAUCUAAGUUCUCCCUUAAUCCUCCCUACCGGACACACCCCAAACCACAAUGAGAUGAUUAAGAGUUAUUUAAUGGAGGUGCAGCUCCAUUAAAAAAGGAUACAACCUCGACUAGCGGAUAAAUCUCCCACACAACCUUACCGUGGGCCUUAAAGCAGCCAUCAACAAAGAGUGCGUCAAAGCUCCACAGCCCAAAAAUACCGAAACAAGAUGAAUCCCUUACCACAAACAGGUCAACCUAUGAAUAUAGGAGAAUUAAUGCUAAAAUAAGUAACUUGGGGCCACACCUACCCCUCUAACGGCGCAAGCUUACAUGGAAACAUUAUUAACAGACCCAGGCAUAUACGAAAACUCCUACAAGACCCAGUAUUAACUAAACCUGUUAACCCGACUCAGGAGCGCCCAUAAGAACGAUUAAAAUCUGUGAAAGGAACUCGGCAAACCACAAGGCCCGACUGUUUACCAAAAACAUAGCCUUCAGCAAACAAACAAGUAUUGAAGGUGAUGCCUGCCCAGUGACCCAGGUUAAACGGCCGCGGUAUCCUAACCGUGCAAAGGUAGCGCAAUCAAUUGUCCCAUAAAUCGAGACUUGUAUGAAUGGCUAAACGAGGUCUUAACUGUCUCUCACAGAUAAUCAGUGAAAUUGAUCUUCCCGUGCAAAAGCGGGGAUGUGAACAUAAGACGAGAAGACCCUGUGGAACUUAAAAAUCAACGGCCACCGCGAACCCAAGACCAAACCCACCGGGAUCACUACCAUAUCGCAAGGCAUGGCCGAUAUUUUUCGGUUGGGGCGACCUUGGAGAAAAACAGAUCCUCCAAAAACAAGACCAUACCUCUUUACCUAGAGCCACCCCUCAAAGUGCUAAUAGCGACCAGACCCAAUAUAAUUGAUCAAUGGACCAAGCUACCCCAGGGAUAACAGCGCAAUCCCCCUCAAGAGCCCCUAUCGACAGGGGGGUUUACGACCUCGAUGUUGGAUCAGGACAUCCUAAUGGUGCAGCCGCUAUUAAGGGUUCGUUUGUUCAACGAUUAACAGUCCUACGUGAUCUGAGUUCAGACCGGAGCAAUCCAGGUCGGUUUCUAUCUAUGAACUACUCUCCCCAGUACGAAAGGACCGGGAAAGUGAGGCCAAUACCACAAGCACGCCUUCCCUCUAAAUAGUGAAACCAACUAAACUAUGAAGAGGACUCCUCCCACCACUCCCAAUCCUAGAAAAGGACCA
rnacentral:rRNA from 1 species